GACGAACGCUGGCGGCGUGCCUAAUACAUGCAAGUCGAACGCAGUGGGGACGGGUGAGUAACACGUGGGUAACCUCAAAUCAGAGGGGAUAACACUUGGAAACAGGUGCUAAACCGAUACUGAUGGAUGGACGCGAGGUGCAUUAGCUAGUUGGUGAGGUAACGGCUUACCAAGGCCAAGAUGCAUAGCCGACCUGAUAGGGUGAUCGGCCACACUGGGCCUUAUACACGGGCCAGACUCCUACGGGAGGCAGCAGUAGGGAAUCUUCGGCAAUGUCCGAAAGUCUGACCGAGCAACGCCGCGUGGGUGAAGAAUGUUUUCGGUUCGUAAAACUCUGUUGUUAGAGAAGCGGUAUCUACCCAGUAAGCCACGGCUAACUUCGUGCCAGCCGCCGCGGUAAUUC
rnacentral:rRNA from 1 species